CUAAGUGGCUCAGCAGACAUGUGUCUGUGGGUACAGAUCUGCAAGAAUGGGGGUGACCAUAGUCCAUCAGAAAGAAUCUGAAAGCUGGGAUUCUCAGAUGCAGGCCAUGGUGCUGGGCCGCGGGAACCCAGCAGUGCAAACUGCCGGCCCCUCUCCUGCAGCCUCUGUUGGAGCUGUCCCAGAAAAGCAGGGUGGGCAAUGCCAUUUCCACAGCCGUGCGGGGCUCUGGUAAGUGUCACAGCUGUCACGGCAGACAGAAUCCCCAUGGUCUGUGCGCCUCCGCGGGUCCGCAGGAAAACAUUCCUCGCAUUCCUGACGCAGGGUCCUAUCUGCAGGCCUUGGACUCGGCCCUCGGGCUCUGUCCCCCGGCAAGUGGCCUAGGCCACGGCCACCGCUCCUUCCCAGCCGGCCCUGCGGGAGAGGGAGCACAGGGAGUGACCGCGGCCGGCCGGCGGAGGACGAGGAAGCAGGCGUGCGGAUGCUUGGCCGCCCGGGCCACCGGAGCACCAGCUGCAACGUGUUGCCCCGGAGGAGGCUCGGGCUUCUGGCACUUUCUGACAAGAGCAUUUUAUAGGGUUUGGGCUAUGAUUUGAUACUGGACGUUGGGGACUCCGAUUUUAUGUUUCCAAGGGUGACAGCAGCAGCUGGCACCUUUAAGAAAUGCGUGUGUCCCUUCUUCCCAAGGGCUCCACAAUAAGAGCUAUUUAUGUCGAGCACCUUAUAAGGGAAGGAUUUAGCCUGCAUGUCAAUACAACAUAUAAUACUUUUUAUAUUUAGGUAGGAGCAAAAUCCAUUAUUAACCAUACCUGUGAUUUCGGCUUGAACUAUGAGAUACACAGGGCUUUACCGCAUGCAGAGGAAGCCGUGCCUGCUUCAAUUUACAAGUUCGUGCAGGGACGUUUUCCCGUGUUACUUCUGUAUAACAAGCAGACACCAGUGCCUCAUGUACCCAGGUCCUUCCCCUGGCAAGUGGACGCUAUCUGCUGUUUGAUCUGAUUUCUGUGACUUUCGAGCGAGCCGUAAGAAGCACCCCGGCCGCUCUAAACUGGUGCUGUCUUUAUUUUUCCAAGAACGGUUUUGGUUCUGGUGAGUAACAGACUGGCCAGGACUUUGUGAUAAUGUGGCCGAUUCCUGGCUCACUCGGAGAGAAGCCACAGCAGCGGGUGGUGGAGGAGCUCAGCCCAGCCAGGGCUCCCUGUGAUACCACGCCAGUGUCCCUGGAGGAGCCAGCCCACCACCAGCUGGACCCUGCUGCUCGCCACACUGGGCGCUCGGAGUCAGCCUGCGCGGUGUCCUGCAAGCUGUGAGAUCAGCGCCCAGCCGGUUGCUUCUUAUCUCCUUGGCUCAGAC
rnacentral:lncRNA from 1 species